GAUUUAUAAAGAAGCGUGGAGAGACAGGCUCUGUGAAACGCUAGCAACCUAACCUUCGGUGUUAAGGUGCUAAUUCCUGAGUUUGGCAGGGUGCCGGACGAAUAUAAAUU
rfam:Pontibacter korlensis strain X14-1T, complete genome.